rnacentral:rRNA from 1 species
GUCGAGCGCAUCCUUCGGGAUGAGCGGCGGACGGGUUAGUAACGCGUGGGAACAUACCCUUUUCUACGGAAUAGCCUCGGGAAACUGAGAGUAAUACCGUAUACGCCCUUCGGGGGAAAGAUUUAUCGGUGAAGGAUUGGCCCGCGUUAGAUUAGAUAGUUGGUGGGGUAAUGGCCUACCAAGUCUACGAUCUAUAGCUGGUUUGAGAGGAUGAUCAGCAACACUGGGACUGAGACACGGCCCAGACUCCUACGGGAGGCAGCAGUGGGGAAUCUUAGACAAUGGGCGCAAGCCUGAUCUAGCCAUGCCGCGUGAGUGAAGAAGGCCUUAGGGUCGUAAAGCUCUUUCGCCAGGGAUGAUAAUGACAGUACCUGGUAAAGAAACCCCGGCUAACUCCGUGCCAGCAGCCGCGGUAAUACGGAGGGGGUUAGCGUUGUUCGGAAUUACUGGGCGUAAAGCGCGCGUAGGCGGAUCAGUAAGUUAGGGGUGAAAUCCCGGGGCUCAACCCCGGAACGGCCUCUAAAACUGCUGGUCUUGAGUUCGAGAGAGGUGAGUGGAAUUCCGAGUGUAGAGGUGAAAUUCGUAGAUAUUCGGAGGAACACCAGUGGCGAA